AUUGAACGCUGGCGGCAUGCUUUACACAUGCAAGUCGGACGAGUGGCGAACGGGUGAGUAACGCCUCGGCACGUCCCGCGUAAAGGGGGCUAACUGUCUGAAAGGACAGCUAAUACCGCAUAUUAUUCGAGCGGCCGAUGUCUGAUUCGCUGGUCGGCGGGGUAAAGGCACACCAAGGCGACGAUCAAUAGCGGGUCUGAGAGGAUGCUACGCCACACUGGAACUGAGACACGGCACAGACUCCGACGAGAGGCAGCAGUGGGGAAUUUUGGACAAUGGGCGCAAGCCUGAUCCAGCCAUGCCGCGUGUCUGAAGAAGGCCUUAGGGUUGGAAAGGACUUUUGGCAGGGAAGCGGUACCUGAAGAAUAAGCACCGGCUAACUACGUGCCAGCCGCCGCGGUAAUAC
rnacentral:rRNA from 1 species